GACGAACGCUGGCGGCGUGCUUAACACAUGCAAGUCGAACGGAAAGGCCCUGCUUUUGUGGGGUGCUCGAGUGGCGAACGGGUGAGUAACACGUGAGUAACCUGCCCUUGACUUUGGGAUAACUUCAGGAAACUGGGGCUAAUACCAGAUAGGAGCUCCUGCUGCAUGGUGGGGGUUGGAAAGUUUCGGCGGUUGGGGAUGGACUCGCGGCUUAUCAGCUUGUUGGUGGGGUAGUGGCUUACCAAGGCUUUGACGGGUAGCCGGCCUGAGAGGGUGACCGGCCACAUGGGGACUGAGAUACGGCCCAGACGCCUAGGGGAGGGAGCAGGGGGGAAUAUUGCAAAAGGGGGGGAAGCCGGAUGGAGCAACGCCGCGGGGGGGAGGACGGCCUUCGGGUGGGAAACCGCUUUCGCCUGUGACGAAGCGGGAGUGACGGUAAUGGGUAAAGAAGCACCGGCUAACUACGU
rnacentral:rRNA from 1 species